GAGAGUUGAGGUUCCGUCCGAGGCUCCGGUCCGCUGUCCCGUUAUUACAUCAAAGUCAAAAUUGAAAAAGACUAAAUAAGCCUAUCAGCUACGAGUUACAAGAUUCCUAUCUAUGAGUCUUCUGAAGCUUGAUCUUGAGUCUUGGUUGGUGCUUCAUGCGGACCCUGAUCUGAAUCUUGAUGCUUGUUGGCCGCAGGUGUUGGUUCAAUCUUCUUCUGGAUCAACACCGGACAUGUAAUGCUCAUGACUUCAACCACGUCUUGAGCAGUUCACAUCUUUUCCUACUUCUGAACUUUGGAGCUCACUUUUUUUAUUCUUUUUCUUCUUUUCUUUAUUUUGGAUUGAGACUCAUUCUUUCUGCCAUCUCGAAUCGUGUGCCUCGAGGUCAAACCUGCUCGGCACCUUGAACCAUUUUCCCUUGAAACUUGAACUGUCUUCCUUCGAAACUGCUUUCCCUUGAAACUUGAGUUGUCUUCCGUCGACACUGAUUUCCCUUGAAACUUGAGUUGUCUUCCCUUGCUCCCCAGGUGAAAUCCAUUGUUGCCAUUUUGAAUUGUAAACUGAGAUAUUUUCCCUUCUUCAAACUGCUAAACUUGAAUGUAUUUGAACUUGAAUGUAUUCCUCUGUUCUUCAGGCGGGCUCCUGACUUCUAAAUUUUGAAUUUGAAUGUAUUCCUCCGUUAUCCAGGUGGGCUCCUGACUUCAUAAAAAUAGACAAAACAAAGAAAACUUUCAGCCCCAGUUUGGAAACUGGGUACAUGUUUACUGGAUAUUAAUAAGAAUUUGAUUAAAACUUGACUUGAGAUACCUCUGUUAUAUAGGCGGGCUCAUGACUUCUGAAACUUGAAUUGUAUGCAUCUGUUCUUCAGGCGGGCUCCUGACUUCAUAAAAGACAAAAAAAUCGAUUGAAAACUAAAAUUUGAAUUGUAUCACCUCUGUUCUUCAGGCGGGCUCCUGAUUGCUGAAUUUGAAAUUGAAUGUAUU
rnacentral:lncRNA from 1 species